rnacentral:rRNA from 1 species
GUCACACUGGAACUGANACACGGUCCAGACUCCUACGGGAGGCAGCAGUGGGGAAUAUUGGACAAUGGGCGAAAGCCUGAUCCAGCCAUGCCGCGUGUGUGAAGAAGGUCUUCGGAUUGUAAAGCACUUUAAGUUGGGAGGAAGGGCAGUAAGUUAAUACCUUGCUGUUUUGACGUUACCGACAGAAUAAGCACCGGCUAACUUCGUGC